ensembl:snRNA U1 U1 spliceosomal RNA
AUACUUACCUGGCAGGGGAGAUACCAUGAUCACAAGUUGGUUUCCCCAGAGCACGGCUUAUCCAUUACAAUCAAAUGUGCUGAACCCUGUGAUUUCCCCACAUGUGGAAACCUCAGUUGCAUAAUUUAUGCUAGUGGGGGGGCUGUGUUCGCACUUGCCCCAG